AGUGAACGCUGGCGGUAGACCUAGCACAUGCAAGUCGAACGGCAGCACAGUAAGAGCUUGCUCUUACGGGUGGCGAGUGGCGGACGGGUGAGGAAUACAUCGGAAUCUACUUUUUCGUGGGGGAUAACGUAGGGAAACUUACGCUAAUACCGCAUACGACCUACGGGUGAAAGCAGGGGAUCUUCGGACCUUGCGCGAUUGAAUGAGCCGAUGUCGGAUUAGCUAGUUGGCGGGGUAAAGGCCCACCAAGGCGACGAUCCGUAGCUGGUCUGAGAGGAUGAUCAGCCACACUGGAACUGAGACACGGUCCAGACUCCUACGGGAGGCAGCAGUGGGGAAUAUUGGACAAUGGGCGCAAGCCUGAUCCAGCCAUACCGCGUGGGUGAAGAAGGCCUUCGGGUUGUAAAGCCCUUUUGUUGGGAAAGAAAAGCAGCAGGUUAAUACCCCGCUGUUCUGACGGUACCCAAAGAAUAAGCACCGGCUAACUUCGUG
rnacentral:rRNA from 1 species